AGUGACCGCUGGCGGCGUGCCUAAUACAUGCAAGUCGAACGGAGUGGCGCCCGGGUGAGUAAUGUAUAGCUAAUCUUCCCUACACUAGAGGACAACAGUUGGAAACGGCUGUUAAUACUCCAUAGUGUAGGAUGAGGCUAUAUUGUAUCAGCUAGUUGGUGGGGUAAUGGCUAUCCAAGGCUAUGACGCAUAACUGGUCUGAGAGGAUGAUCAGUCACACUGGAACUGAGACACGGUCCAGACUCCUACGGGAGGCAGCAGUAGGGAAUAGUGCUCAAUGGGGGAAACCCUGAAGGAGCAACGCCGCGUGGAGGAUAACACUUUUCGGAGCGUAAACUCCUUUUGUUAGGGAAGCGGUACCUAACGAAUAAGCACCGGCUAACUCCGUGCCAGCAGCCGCGGUAAUUC
rnacentral:rRNA from 1 species